UACACGCAUGUGCCUGUGUGCCUGUAGAGGCCAGAGGUCCAUGUUGGUUCUCUUCUUCUGUGGCUUGUCACCUUGUCUUCUGAGACAGGGUCUCUCAGUGAACUGGAACCCCGUGUACUUGGCAGGAAUAGGCGACCAGGAAACCUCAGGGAUCCUCCUGUCUCUGCACCCCCAGUGCUGGGGUUACAGGUGCACACCAGCACUCCUGAUCCAUGGACUGGGGCUGUGGAUUCGAACUGAGGGCCUCGUGCUUUUCCAGUAAGCAGCUUGCUGACUGAGCCAUCUCCCUAGCCCUCCACUGCCACAACUCCUUACAGGUUUUGUUUUGUGAUGCUAAGGAUAACGCUAAGCUGGUUAUCUUCUCCCCCUAACUGGGGUUUGGGGGAGCCAAGAGUUAGGGUUAUCGGUCCAGGAAACAGCAUCUUUCUUGGAGACCUCCAAGUGGAGAGCAAAGGUAGCCAAACAACGGAGGUGGGAAAUUGCUUCAUUUCUGGCCUGAAGCCCUCCUGGAAGUUUUUGUAACAGGACCCAAGGUAGUCCCAUUCCUUCCUGCUAGGAAGACCUCCAGGAUUCAGAGGGCUAAACUCUGCAGCAGGCCAAAAUUGUGAUGAGAUUUGGCUGAGACCCUCAAGGUUAGUGUUAGGGAAGAGCUUUCCCAUUAUGGAAAUGCUUUCUCUUUUGCCAAGAUUCUCCAGCAUUUGUGUUAUAAUUGCCUUUCCAUUCUGUGAGGACUUCAGCUCUUUUUGGAGAUCAGUGUGAUCCCUCCCAGUCAUCUGCACUUGGUGCGUUUCUCCAGCUUGGUCUGAGAGAGAGGCGAGAAAUAGAUGUUUUGUUUGUUUUUGUAUAUUCUACAACAGAAGGGCUCACCCAGCCAGGAAUCCUGUAUCUGACAAAGCUGGGUAUCUGGGAAUGGUGGUAUGUGCCUGUGUUCCACGUAUUGAGGAGGCUGAGGCAGAAGGAUCAGAGUUUGAGGGCAACUCAGGCUAGUUAACAAGACCUAUUUUAAAAAACAAAAAUGCACAAACAAAGAAAUGAGGGAUAAAUUAUGACAUUCUUAUGGAUUUUUAAGAAAUCCGAGGGAUUUGUUACCCCAAGCCUACCCUGUAGGAGGUUCUGGCAGGAGUGUUGAGUAUUUGGACAAAAUGAAAGAAUACUGGAUAAUAACCAGAUAAAGAAAUACAGGUCACUCUAGACACAGGGCAUGAGCAUUACUGUAACAAGUUUGUAAUCCUACUUGGUUUUCUACAUGAUUUAAAAAGCUCAUAUUGUUUAAUUUUAAUUUGUAAAUCCAUAGUUUGUUUUCUGUAUAGUUUGAAAGCUAACUCAUUUAAAGAAUUUAGUUUACUUAUAGGGCACACAGUAUCUAAAGACUUAACUUACUGAUGUAAACGAUGGAAAGGGGCAGCUGCAGAGUUACAGAAGCAAAAGUUUUCAUGAUACUGAUUUUUAUAUAGAUACAUGUAACACUCUGCCAAACGAAGACUAUACCCUUCCAUGUUUUCCUCAAGUGCACAUGGACAUUUUCUAGAAGGGGCCACUGUUAACUCUCAAAUUAAUCUCAGUAGAUUUGGAAGGAAUAUUUUAUAAAGUAUCUUCUAUGAACAUCCCAGGAUGAAAUUAAAAAUAGAAGUGAAAAACCAAUAGUAAAACCAACAAGUUUACGGAAUUGUGGAAAGUAGACAAUAUACUUUUAAAUAAUAAGUAGAUGUGGUGGUUUGAAUAAGAAUGGCCCCCAUAGGCUCAUAGAUUUGAAUGCUUGGUCACCCAGGAAUGGCACUACUUGAAAGGAUUAGGAGGUGUGGCCUUGUUGGAGGAAGUGUGUCACUGGGAGCGGGCUUGGAGGUUUCAGAAGCCCAAGCCAGUCCCAGUGUCUCUCUCUUCCUGUUGUCUGUGGCUCUGGAUGCAAAACUCCCAGGUCCUCCAGCACCACAUCUACCUGCAUGCUACAAUGCUCCCCACCAUGAUGAUAAUGGACUAAACCUCUGAAACUGUAUGCGAGUCCCAAUUAAAUGCUUUCUUUUAUAAGAGUUGCUGUGGUCAUGGUGUCUCUUCACAGCAGUAGAAAGAAACCUAAGACAGUAGAUUAAAAAUCAAGAAGUAUUUAGAGACAAAAUUAAAAUACAACAUUGGAUCAAUAGAAGUACUGAUCAGUUGGACAUUUAUGGCUAGCUGUAUAUAUUCGUUUUAAAACACAGGAGGAUUUCAAGUCAACAGCUGAUCUUUUUGUUUGCUUGCUUUUUGGAGACAGGGUUUCUCUACAUAGUCCUGACUGUCCUGGAUCUUACUAUAUAGACUAGUCUACCCUGAGCUCACAGAAAUCCACCUGCUUCUGCUUCCUGAUUAAUGGGCUUAAUAGGCUAUUUUUAUACCUAAGAAACAAUUAGAUGAAGAAAAACAAAUAAACCCAAAGCUAGCAGAACCAGGGAAACAAUAAAGAUUAGAAGAAAUAAGUGAAAUGGACUAGAAACAGUACCUUUUUUUUUUUUUUUUAAUGAUAACAACAUUGACAAAGCUUUAGAUAGAUGAACUAAGGAAGAAAGAUCAUUGAAAUUAGAAAGGGAAAUGGGGACAUUGUUACCAAUUUUAGAAGUAAAAAGGGUAGUAAGAGAGUACUGUGAACCCGUUUGACAACAGGUAAGAUAACCUAGAGGGAUUGAAGGAUUCCUAUGAGGACUAACUCACAAAGAAGAAGAAAAUCUGACCAGAGAUGCUUAUUGCCACCAUUUAACACCAGUUGGGGUUGUUGCCAGAGUAAUUAGACAAGAAAAGCAAAUAAAUAAACCUAUAGAAAGAGAAGAAGCCAAAGUAUGUAUUUGCUAAUUAUAAGAUCUUACGUACAGAAUCUUAUAAAGAUUACACAAAAGCUGUUAGAACUAAUCUGAUUCAGCAAAGUAACAGUACAAAUCUGUCUUAGUUAGGGUUUCUAUUGCUGUAAUGAAACAUCAUUACCAAAAAGCAACUUGAUAGGAAAAGGGCUUAUUAGGCUUUCACUUCAGCAUUGCUACUGAUCACUGAAGGAAGUCAGGACAGGAAUUCAAACAGGGCAGGAGACUGGAGGCAGGAGCUAAUGCAGAGGCCGUGGACGGUGCUGUUUACUGACUUGUUUCCCAUGGUUUGCUUGACCUGCUUUCUUAUAGAACCCAGGACCAGCAGCCCAGGGAUGGCAGCACUCACCAUGGGCUGGGCCCUCCCCCAUUGAUCACUAAAUGAGAAAAUACCUUACAGCUGGAUCUCAUGGAGCUUUUCCUCAGCUAAGACCCCUUCCUCUGAUGACUCUAGUUUGGGGCAAGUUGACACAGAACCAUUCAGUACAAAGUCAGUUAUGUCUCAGAUACUAACAAUAUCCAGUUGUCCUGAUUAGUUUUUUGUCAACUUGAUAGGAGCUGGAAUCAUUUGGAAGAGGAAACACCAUGAGAAAAUGCCCCCAAAGAUUGGCCUGUAGGUUUUUCCUCCAGGUUCCUGCCUUAAGUUCCUGCCCUGACUCUUUUUGUGAUGGACUGAUCGGGACAUGCAAGCUAACACAAACCUCCUCUCCCCGAGUUGCUUUUGGUUGUGGUGUUUUCCUGCAGCAAGAGAAGCCCUAACUGAGACACCAGUCUAAGGAAGAAAUUGUGCAAUCAAUUCCAUUUAGAGUAUAUUCAGAAGGAGGAAAAUAUUUAGUAAAUAUUUAGCCAAAAAAGACUUGUGUGAUGAGAACUAUACUUAGAAUUAGCAGAUGGACUCAGUCGAAAUGAUUCUGGUUUUGUUUAACAUCCAGAGCAUCAGAAUCAGGAGCCAGCCUCACACACACACCUUCCUCUCUCCAUCAGGACUGACGUUGAUGUCAUCAGUGUCACAGAAUUUCUUCACAGCCUCUUUGCUCUGGUGCCUGUUGGCCUUGCCGUCCCAUCGGGCACACCUGACUUGUCGCCUGUCUCUUCAGGGCUGACUCAGUGGUCAGGGGACACGUGCUGACAGCACACUGGUCAGCCUUGUUGCUCCUGGAAAUGCUCUUGAGAAGGUUUUUGAGCCACUUCAAGAGCCUCGGGGUCUUGGGCUGGGAGGUGGGUGACUAAGGGAUCUUCUUUCGUGCUUGGUUGUGGACGCCGCUCAGCACUCACUGCCUUCUCUGUUUUCAGAGCCUGUGCUUGGGCUUUGGCCAUGGGAGGGCAGGAGCCCUUCUUCACUUUCAGCUCCAUCUUGGCAAAAGCUAGAAUGUGAUUUCGAUUCAUUCGGAUGAUUUUAUUCUAUUUCUCUGUCCCAUGUUUAUCACAAUAAGCUACAUCAUCGUCAUUUUUAAAGUCUCUUAAGCAUCAGGCUUCCAAUGUUUAUUUAGAUUGUCUAAUGAUGCACCAAAUGAACCCCAAAUGGACUACAUAUACGCCAAGUAUUUUGUCUCCCAGAAAACAAGGAACGAGAGAGAAUGCAUAGAAAGUUCUUGAACCCUGAGGCAUUAAAGGAAAACUGAAAGGAAUUUUUAUGACCACAUUAAAGAAACAUGUGACAAAUACUUAUAACAAAUAAGAAAGGCGACAAGCUAAUAAUAGCUUUAUGAUACAAAGAGUUACCAUCUGCUAUAGGAAUGAAGGGGAACUGAGUGUAGAAUUCACGAGCACAUUCAAGUAAGGAUGAGAAUGUAGUUCAUGAUAGUAACACAUUUUAAAAUCCUUGUUGUAAGAAUAGAAUAUUCAGUGUGUACCAAGUUGUUAGCCAGACAUUAAGUCCAAAAACUGAAGUUCUGCAUCCACUAGCCAAAAUAAGUUCAGAUGGACAAAACAUUUAAAUUGGAAUUCUAAACAGAAUGAUACUGUAGGUGAGUGUAGACGUGGGAAUUAGGCAGCCUGAGUUUGUCCCGCCUCUCUCUGACUCCCUGGCCAUGUGGCCUUGGGCAGGUUAGUUAACCACUUCAUGCCUCAGUUCAUGAGACAAGGAUGAAGCGGCAGCCGCCUCACAGGAGGGACGUUGUGAGGAUCAAAUGUGUUAGUACACGUGAUGGGUGUGGCCUGGUGCCUGGUGCAUGCAAGUACAUUUAAAAAUAGCUGUCACUAUUGUCAAGCAGGUAAAACUGUAAAAGCAUUAAAGGAAAAUUUGGUAGAUAUUUUUAUGAGCUUGGGAGUGGGGGGAAGACUUAUAAUCAUGACAUCAUAGAAGAUGAAGAGAUUUAUCAUUUAAAACUUCUGCACAUGGGGAAGUACUUCUGAUCAGUGAGUGAAGUGUGGGGUCACCAACCAUGGGGGGACAGGCUAUGAGGGUGACAUUGUUUUGUGACUUCCUGCACUGAAGCCAAGCCUGGCCAGGUGAGUACCUGGGAAGAGCUUAUUUGAAUGUUUUACACAUUUUCUUGGUUCUUCUUAGAGCUGCUGUAACAAAUUUCAACAAACUUGGUGUCUUCUGUGGAAGUUUCUUCUUGUCGUUGUAGUUCAGCUCUGGAAUCCAGAAGUCCAGAA